rnacentral:misc_RNA from 1 species
GAUGAAGAACGCAGCGAAAUGCGAUAAGUAAUGUGAAUUGCAGCAUUCAGUGAAUCAUCGAAUCUUUGAACGCACCUUGCGCUCCUUGGUAUUCCGAGGAGCAUGCCUGUUUGAGUGUCAUGAAAUUCUCAACCUUUUCAGCUUUCUUUGUUGAUCAGGCUUGGAUGUGGGAGUAUGCGGGCUUCUCAGAAGUCGGCUCUCCUGAAAUGCAUUAGCGGGACCUUUGUUGCCUGGCUUUGGUGUGAUAAUUAUCUACGCCAUUGUAGUCAAGCAGCUUAAAAUGAGGUUUCAGCUUCUAACAGUCUCCCCUGAGACAACUUUUUGACAAUUUGACCUCAAAUCAGGUAGGACUACCCGCUGAACUUAAGCAUAUCAAUAAGCGGAGGA